UUAUCGUUCUAAGUGAGUGACGUCACACUGCCAAGAAAAGCUUCUAGUUAGAAUCAGACCGCCCGUACCGCAAACCGACACAGGUAGUCGGGUCGAGAAGACCAAGGUGAGCGAGAGAACUCUCGUUAAGGAACUCGGCAAAAUGACCCCGUAACUUCGGGAGAAGGGGUGCUGAUCGCAAGAUCAGCCGCAGUGAAUAGGCCCAGGCGACUGUUUAUCAAAAACACAGGUUUCUGCAAAAUCGUAAGAUGAAGUAUAGGGGCUGACGCCUGCCCGGUGCUGGAAGGUUAAGAGGAUGGGUUAGCGCAAGCGAAGCUCAGAAUUGAAGCCCCAGUAAACGGCGGCCGUAACAAUAACGGUCCUAAGGUAGCGAAAUUCCUUGUCGGGUAAGUUCCGACCCGCACGAAAGGCGUAACGAUCUGGGCACUGUCUCAACGAGAGACUCGGUGAAAUUAUAAUACCCGUGAAGAUGCGGGUUACCCGCGACAGGACGGAAAGACCCCAUGGAGCUUUACUGUAGCUUGAUAUUGGGUGUUUGUACAACUUGUACAGGAUAGGUAGGAGCCGUAGAAGUCGGGACGCUAGUUUCGACGGAGGCAUCGGUGGGAUACUACCCUCGUUGUAUGAACACUCUAACCCACGCCGGCAAUCACGGCGGGAGACAGUGUCAGGUGGGCAGUUUGACUGGGGCGGUCGCCUCCUAAAAGGUAACGGAGGCGCCCAAAGGUUCCCUCAGAAUGGUUGGAAAUCAUUCGCAGAGUGUAAAGGCAUAAGGGAGCUUGACUGCGAGACCUACAAGUCGAGCAGGGACGAAAGUCGGGCUUAGUGAUCCGGUGGUUCCGCAUGGAAGGGCCAUCGCUCAACGGAUAAAAGCUACCCUGGGGAUAACAGGCUUAUCUCCCCCAAGAGUCCACAUCGACGGGGAGGUUUGGCACCUCGAUGUCGGCUCAUCGCAUCCUGGGGCUGUAGUCGGUCCCAAGGGUUGGGCUGUUCGCCCAUUAAAGCGGUACGCGAGCUGGGUUCAGAACGUCGUGAGACAGUUCGGUCCCUAUCCGUCGCGGGCGCAGGAAAUUUGAGAGGAUCUGUCCUUAGUACGAGAGGACCGGGAUGGACAUACCGCUGGUGUACCAGUUGUUCUGCCAAGGGCAUCGCUGGGUAGCUAUGUAUGGAUGAGAUAAACGCUGAAAGCAUCUAAGUGCGAAACUCACCUCGAGAUGAGAUUUCCCACUCCUUUAUGGAGUUAAGACCCCUGAGAGAUGAUCAGGUAGAUAGGAUGGAAGUGGAAGUGCGGCGACGCAUGGAGCGGACCAUUACUAAUCGGUCGAGGACUUAACC
rnacentral:rRNA from 1 species